UACGGCGGCCAUAGCGGAGGGGAAACGCCCGGUCCCAUUCCGAACCCGGAAGCUAAGCCCUCCAGCGCCGAUGGUACUGCACUCGACAGGGUGUGGCAGAGUAGGACACCGCCGAAC
rnacentral:rRNA from 1 species